ACCCAUUUCACUUGUUUUUGUUCAUAAUUUUCAGAAAGCUUCUCUGUACAAUCUGCAUGUUGUUGAACCAUUAGCUCCUUUUCUCUGCAUGUGUGUGAGUCUGUCUUUAACCAUCAGAUUCCUUUCUCUGCAUGUCGUUGCAUCUUUCUUUAGAUGAACGUAAGGCCUCUUGAAACGGAGCUAGAAACCUCACAUAUAGCAUCUCUUGGAUUUUCAUCCCCCAAAGCACCAGUUUCUUUAACGAAGAAGAACUGACUUCUUCACAGCCACCUUAGAUGUGAAUCGAAUCCUGCAUUUGGAUUCUGAUGUUAACCAGAUAGUUACAGACAUGUAUGGCAGAAACAUUACUGUUGAUGUAGCUAGAACCAGAUUUAUUCAAGACCUGUUGGAUGCCAGGAGAUUCGAUCAAAUAGCAAUUGACAAACUAUAUGUGAACCCUGUUGUGGCUUACUCUAUGAUAUUGAUAGUGUAUCUACACCACGAUAAACCUUGAGUGGCAGAUGGAAACUGACAAGCAAAAGCAGCCUAGGCAGACAGUAGCAGGGGGGGGGGGGGGGGGGGGAUUUCGGAAGUUGAGUUUGCAUGCCUCAGUGGGGCAGAGAAAUAGGAUUAUCAGUCUUUUUAGUUUUGUAAAUGAACUGACAAAUGAUAUACUGUUGUUUUUGUUAGAAAUUGUGGUGCUGGAUUUUUCUUUCAUUUUAGUCUUAGUUGUUCCGAUGAACAUGUACAUUUGAUUGAUUCUUAUUCUUUUAGGAGUUGUCUAAAUCAUGAACUGAGAUUUUACUUUGCUCAGGAUCAACAGUUGCAUAUGAUUGAUUUUUAAUACGCUAAUUCGAUUACUAGGAAAUGAAAUUGCUUCCAGGGAUUCUGCCCAAAACAUUUUGCUUGCUUUGUGUGUUUGAGCUUCCCUCUUUAUUUGAUUUUGGUCAAGAGUAGCAAUCCAAUUAUAUAGUAGUCCAAUUGUUGCUCCUGGAGAUGGGGUGCUGGUAUUUUCGGAGUCUGCUUCUGCAAUACCUUGUUGCAAAUAAUUGAUUAUUUAGCUGUUUGCUGUCAUUAAUUUGCUGAUUAAAAUCUUCGGUCAGAUUUCUAAGUUUCUAAUUGCACUAUUUGGUAGACAACCCACAUGAGUUAAUGAGUGAGGCAUUAGAAGAGUCGCAAUGUACGUUGUCACAAGUAGAUCAUUUCCUUGUGUUUCUGUGUGCCAUUUUAUUAAAUCCAUAAGCUAUGUUAGUCUUUCCCAUCUCCGAUGCACAUCGGAAUGUAUAACACGUUAUGAAUUUUAUUACAUAAAAAGAAUGUUUACCAUUCACUUGUGUUAGUUUUCCGCUUAACUCAAAUGCUAUACAAUUGGCCCUAUUUAUAGGGUCAUCUCUAAGUUACCUAGUUGUUAUCAAUGUACCCAUUUGUUAACAUAAAGAAUCAAUGAGAGGUCAUUACUUUGAGUAUAUAUAUAAAAUAUGUAUCUAUUUAUAUAUUUAAAGUAGACAUAGAUAACAUUACUCAAGUAAUUAUUGUGUUUUAUGAAAUGUAUUAAAAUAAUGUUAAGUUACUAUUUUAAGUAAAUGCCGUUGGAUACAAGUAUUCUACGAUUAAUUUGCCUCACUCAUUAAUUCAUGUGGGUUGUUUGCCAAAUCUGCCUUAAUGGCACUCAAAAAAGUGCAAUUAGAAACUUAGAAAUCUGAUAGUGCAGUAAUAACCCCAUGCACCAAAGCAAUUAAUCAGCAAAUUAAUGACAGCAAACAGCAAAAUAAUCAACUAUUUGCAACAAGGUAUUGCAGAAGCAGACUCCGAAAAUACCACCACCCAAUCUCCAGGAGCAACAAUCGGACUACUAUAUAACUGGAUUGCUACUCUUGACCAAAAUCAAAUAAACAGGGAAGCUCAAACGCAUAAAGCGAGCAAAAUAUUUUGAGCAGAAUCCCUGGAAGCAAUUUCAUUUCCUAGUAACUGAAUUAGCAUAUUAAGAAUCAAUCAUAUGCAACUGUUGAUCCGGAGCCCAGUAAAAUCUCAGUUCUUGAUUUAGACUACUACUAAAAGGAUAAGAAUCAAUCAAAUAUAAAUGUUAAUCGAAACAACUAAAACUAAAAUGAAAGAAUAAUCCAGCACAACAAUAUCUACCAAAACAACAGUAUAUCACUUCUCUGUUCAUUUAACAAUACUUAGAAAGUGAGAAUCAAUACUAAAAUGACUAAGUAAUCCUAAUUCUUCGCCCCUCUGCCACUGUCCGCUUAGGCUGCUUUUGCUGGUCAGUUUCUUCAUAAUUAGCCAAACAUAACUUAGCUACAGUUUUAUUAUACUGAUAAGAUUAAAAAAAGAAAAGCUAUGAGAAAGUGUUUACCUAUUUGCCACUCAAGGCUCCUCUUGGUAUUGAUUCACUUGUAAAGAGCAGGCCGCAUCGGGGUCCAAUUGUUGCCAGUUUACCAUUAAGACAAUUACUGAUAUCGUGUCGGGUAUGUGCAAAGUUACUUUUGUGAGAAAAAGUACAGCCUUGCAUCAUGUUGUUGAACAAGGACAGUAAUACAUCCAAUUUACUAACAAUUCUGUCCAUUGCUAUAUGAUCAAAUCUCCUGGCUUCCAAAAAGUCUUGAAUAAAUCUGGUUCUAGCUACACCAACAGUAAUGUUUCUAUCAUACAUGUCUGCAACUAUCUGGCGAAUAUCAGAAUCCAAAUUCAGGACUUGAUUCACUCUGAGCAGGCUGUGAAGAAUUAGUUCUUCUUCUGCGGAGACGAUUGAGCGUGGUACGUAUGGUUCCCGUCCAUAUCUAGCAAUUGAACAGGUAAAUUCACUUAUUAAACUAAGUCCUUGGAAUGAUGAAACUAAUUUUGUCAGAUUCAUCUAAAAAGAAAUAUGGACAUUUCUUGAUCUGUUAAACAAAUAUUUGAGUAUAGAAGAAUAGAUAUCUUACUAAAGUA